rnacentral:rRNA from 1 species
UGUCAAUCUAAAAUAUCACUUUAAAUAUAAUGUUUAAAAUUUAAAUUGGUUAAAAUAUUAUUUUUUUUAGUAUAAGUAGUAUAGAAUAAUUGUUUUAGGAGUACUGUAAAGGAAUAAAAUUGUUUAAUUGUUAUGUAGUAGAGACUUAUUUUCGUACCUUUUGUAUAAUGGAUUAAUGAUUUUUUUAUGUUUAUAACAGUUUCUCGAAGUGAAAGGAUUUACUUAAUAAGGUUGUGUGUUAACGUUGUAUAGUUAUAUAUUGAUUAUUAAGUGGUAGUGAUAUGUUUAUCGUUUUUCAUGAUAGCUGGUUUAUUAGCUUAAAAUAUUUAAGUAUUGUAAUAUUAGUAUAAAUAUGUUGUUUUAUCUAAUAUUAGCUUACUGUAUAAGGGAUAAGCUUUAUAUAGUGUAAUUAGAAUCGUBUAUAUAGUUUAAUAAUUUAAGUAGAAUUAAAAAUGUUUUGCUUUAAAAGUAAUUUAAAUUGUUUAAUGUUUGUUUAUGUUCAGUUUAUUAGUUAAUUAAAUUUUUAAAAAUUAAUUUUUAAAAAUAUAUAAUGUUAAUAUGAGUAUUAUUAAUAAUUAUUAGUUUAUUAAAAUAUGUAGAAGUAAAUUGUUUGUAUUUUUUAAUAUAGUGAAUUAAGGUAAAGGAAUUCGGCAAAUAUUAAUCUCGCCUGUUUAUCAAAAACAUCUCUCUUUGUUAUAUAAUACAUAAAGAGUUGGGCCUGCUCGGUGAAUAAUUUUUUAACAGCUGCGGUAUUUUAACUGUACUAAGGUAGCAUAAUAAUUUGCCUUAUAAUUUGAGGCUAGAAUGAAUGGUUUGACGAAGGUUAAUCUGUCUCUAUCUUAUUUUUUAGAAUUUAAUUUUAUAGUGAAAAAGCUUUAAUUUUUUAAAGGGACGAGAAGACCCUAUUGAGCUUUUAAUUUUAUUGUGUUUUAAAUAUUUAUUUUUAUAGCGUUAUUAUAAAUUUUAAUUGGGGUGAUUAAGGAAUAAAUUAUUAACUUCCUUAGUUUGAAUAUUGUUUGAUAAAGUAACCAAUAUGUUAUUGCUUUUAUUAUAGUUACCAUAGGGAUAACAGCGUAAUUUAUUUAGAGAGUUCUUAUUAAAAAAUGAGAUUGCGACCUCGAUGUUGGAUUAAAGUAACCUCAAGGUGAAGAAGCUUUGAUAGGUAAAUCUGUUCGAUUUUUAAAACUUUACAUGAUCUGAGUUCAGACCGGCGUGAGCCAGGUUGGUUUCUAUCUUUUAAAAAUGAUAUUUGCUUGUUUCAGUACGAAAGGACCAAAUAAAGCUAAAAAAUUAUUAUUAUAAUACAUAGUUGGCAGAAAUAAUGUGAA